rnacentral:rRNA from 1 species
GAUGAACGCUGGCGGCGUGCCUAAUACAUGCAAGUCGAGCGAACAGACGAGGAGCUUGCUCCUCUGACGUUAGCGGCGGACGGGUGAGUAACACGUGGAUAACCUACCUAUAAGACUGGGAUAACUUCGGGAAACCGGAGCUAAUACCGGAUAAUAUAUUGAACCGCAUGGUUCAAUAGUGAAAGACGGUUUUGCUGUCACUUAUAGAUGGAUCCGCGCCGCAUUAGCUAGUUGGUAAGGUAACGGCUUACCAAGGCAACGAUGCGUAGCCGACCUGAGAGGGGGAUCGGCCACCCUGAAACUGGGACACGGUCCAGACUCCAACGGGAGCCAGCGGUAGGAAUUCUUCCGCAAUGGGCGAAAGCUUGACGGAGCACCGCCGGGGGAGUAAUGAGGGUCUUCGAUUCGUAAAACUCUGUUAUAGGGAAGAACAAAUGUGUAAGUAACUAUGCACGUCUUGACGGUACCUAAUCAGAAAGCCACGGCUAACUACGUG